rnacentral:misc_RNA from 1 species
AACAAGACCUCGAAGCUUUUAGAAGCAGCAGUUGUUUGCGGGGCGAUACUUGGAGGAGCAGAUGAUGAAAACAUAGAAAGGGUUAGAAAAUAUGCAAGGUGUAUAGGGUUGUUAUUCCAAGUUGUAGAUGAUAUAUUGGAUGUGACAAAGUCAUCGGAGGAGCUGGGAAAAACGGCCGGCAAGGAUCUGAUAAGCGAUAAAGCAACAUAUCCAAAGCUGAUGGGAAUUGAUGAGGCUAAGAAAUUUGCUGCUAAGUUGGUGGAUCAAGCCAAUCAAGAACUUGUUUCCUUUGAUGCUGCCAAG